rnacentral:rRNA from 1 species
UACGUAGGCAGCGAGCGUUGUUCGGAGUUACUGGGCGUAAAGGGUGUGUAGGCGGUUGUUUAAGUUUGGUGUGAAAUCUCCCGGCUCAACUGGGAGGGUGCGCCGAAUACUGAAUGACUUGGAGUGCGGGAGAGGAGAGUGGAAUUCCUGGUGUAGCGGUGAAAUGCGCAGAUAUCGGGAAGAACACCUAUGGCGAAGGCAGCUCUCUGGGACGGUACUGACGCUGAGACGCGAAAGCGUGGGGAGCGAAACAGG